AUUUUAGAUGCAUCCAGAAUUUGAGGGAUCUUUUUUGUAUAUUAAUGAUCAAUGGGAAUCGGCCUAAUAUUGCCCUACAUGCGUUGUUGGGUGUUCUCCUUUGUAAUUUUAAAAUCAUUUUGCAGAAUUCUGUGUGUACGGCUUCUGUUGGAUGUCUGUCCCAUCUAGUGUAGCUCUGAUCACUGAGUGGACCCCAUACCUCACUUCCAUACAGCGCUAUGGGCUGAAUUACACUAUUAAAAAUGUUACACCAAAUUGGAAUUGGUAUUUCAAUAUUUUGGAUUUUUUUCUUAAUGGCAUAUUUACAUAUACUAUUGUAUUUAUAAUUAUACUAUCAUUAUACCAUAAUAACUUAAAUAAAAUCAGUUGGUUAUUGGUUAUUUAUUUUGUCUUAUUCUGAAACUUAGGCUACGUCUACAUUAAUCCGGAUGCAUUUGAAAACGGAGUUUUCGUUUUAAAACGCUUUCCAUCCACACUAGCGUUUUCCAAAAGUUUUUUUUCAUCCACACUGAAACGUAGGAAAACUUUAAAUUCGACAUACUGCGCAUGCGUAAAAACUCACUGAGACGAUAGACGGAAGAGACAUGAUAGGUUUUCAUGCAAUUUUCGGCAGGAUCAUUUUAUUUACAGAAAUAUCUCAUCAUUCACUAACGCGUCCAUGUUGCGCGCUCUCAUGUUUGAUCAAAAAGCAGCUGCCCUCACGUUUAGCUGCAGAAGUCAGGAUAGCAACUGUGAGUACAGUUUCUGUCAUAUUUUUAGGACUGUAAUAUGAAGAGUGUACAAAUAUAUCUUAGGCAGCAGUGUAAAAAAGUGAAUAGCACAUAAAAGUCACAAUUACCUGUAUAAACAUGGAUAUCUAUUGGCACAAUAUGCGUCCCAUGACUAAACAUGCGUCAUCGUUUUCAAAAGCCUCAGUUUUCAAAGUCCACACUGCAACGCCUAAACGAGUUUUCAAAUUUAUCCACUUUGGAGAGCGUUUUCAAAAAGCUCCGUUUUCCUUGACCAAAAACGCCGUCUCAGUGUGGACAGAAGGCCAAAACGGAGAGAAAAAGAUGCGUUUUCAAACGAAAACGUAUUAAUGUGGACAUCUCUGUUGUGUUCUGUAAACCUGUUCAACCUGUUUUGGGGCGGUACAGUGGAGGAGGAAGAGAAGGAGGCGGAAACUAAAAGUGUGCUUAUGAUUUUCAAACUUAAUUUCAGCUAACUUUAAACGAUCUAUGCCUUGUUUAUUUUUUUAAUGUCUUAAAACUAAAUUGUAUAUAUAGGUUCAAUGCAUGUCAAGUGCAAAUUGUUUUUAUUGUCUCGCUGCUAAAAGCACUUAGUUCCUGUUUCAACGCGUGGACUUAAAGAUGAAUCUUCAGCAGUUUAAUCCCAACCAUUUAUUGUUGCGCAAAAUACAAGAUCAGGACUGCAGCAAGGUUAUAUAAGAAGCUAAAAGAAGACUGAUGCCAAAUCUGAGCCACAUUGCCACUCCACUUAUGAGUUCAGGCUCACAUGCUAUCAGGCAACAAUGGCUUCACCCAGACUCCGUCAUCGACGCGGAAGCAUGGAGCUGCCAACUAACAUGUUAUCUGAUGUUUUUCAUCUCAAAGAGGAGUUGAAUAGACUUCCUAAAGACAUUUCCCUAGAAUGCAACGAGCAUAGAGACAAAAUUCAUGAUCUCAUCAAUGAGUUUAAAAAUUACAGACUUGUACUUUAUUCACUCAGAGGAGCAAUAAUAACUGGAGGAAUUGGGAUGGUGUUGUCUGUAUUAUCUUUCUUUGUAAUUAAUGAUGAGGUUUCUGAAAUUUUUGCUAGAGCAGGGGCAGCUUUGUCUGUAGUUUCUCUAUUAUUUGUUGCUUUCGGGCGAUACAGGAAAACACAGCAUAAGAAGAACUUUAAGCGAACCAUUGAAGAGGAACUUAAGGGAUUUCAGGAUAAAAUAAACCCUAUUAUUGACAUAAUGGAAAAAAUCUGUCAACGUACUGAGGAAAUACUGAGAGAUACUUUACUAUCAGACAACAAAGCCCAGGCAUUAAGUGAACAUUUUGCCUACUGCUUUGAAAAAAAGCAACUCUUCCAGGAAAAGGAGAGUGAAAUGGUUUCUAAAAUGAUGCAUUUAUCUGGAAAUCUUUCAGAAAUGAUCACCAAGGUUAGUUCUGUGCCUGAUAUCCUAAAAGAGAUUAUUGAAGACAACAAGAGGCUGCAUGGCAAAUCUGCAAAACCCACACCUGAACAAAUACAUAAAAGAGAGUUAAAGGAGAAAGUAGAGAAAUUCAUUAAUGAAAUGCAAAAAGGAAUUUGCACAUUAAAAAACGGAGUGAAGAGCAUCAGCCAAAUAUCAGAAGAAAUAUCAAAUAUUUUGAAAUGAACCUGAUGAAUUGAAAAAGUAUGAACUUGUUAUUGGAUCCAGCUGACAAAAGACAACACAAUUUCAUUGUCCAACAACAAAUAAUGUUAACAUUGUCAAAAUAAUAUAUGUUUAUAUUAUUAUCAUUAUUAUUAUUUUUUUCUUGGUUAAGGAAAUUGAUACUUUGUUCAAUGCAGAAAUCCAGGUAUGAUUGUUUCUGAUCUGCAUUUUUAAUCAAAAGAACAUGUUUUUAUUUUGUGCAUAUUAUGUAGUUAAUAUUAAUCACUUUUCAUGACAAAACGUAAUAAAAUGUACAGACAAAAAUGUAUCUGAAUUUCUUCAAACCUUUAAUGUCUUCAUCAAGGGGAGAAACAAGGGGAAUAUAGGGGAUUUUAGACGAAAUCCUAAUAUUAAAUAGCUCAAACUAAGCAUGUUGCAAUAGUCGGUGUUACCGGAGUUAAGUUUUGUUUUUAAUACUAAUAAAAAUAAUUUAGUUCAGUUAGAGAACAGACAUUAUAAUUAAAAAUCAAAUGCGGCUGCUCAAUGCAGAGUGCCAAAGGACAGUCGCGUAUCACAGAUCAGCAGCAGGUAUGGGAUUUCAUUUAGUGAAUCGAGCUGACUGACAAGAAGAGUGAGCUGAGACAGACUAGACGAUGGCGAAAUAUUUAGUUUCCAAAUGAAAUGCAGGCACCCAUUUCAAAAAUAAUUGGAAUUUUGAAAAGCCUGUUGACUUUUGCUGUUCAUCUAAGUUGAUUUUAAAAGUUUUUUUAAACAUUUGUUUCUAAUUGAUUUGGUUCCCCCAUGUUUGCUGGUUUUCAGUUUUGUAAAUGUAAACUUUGUGUAAGUCAUUUUUAUUUUAAA